rnacentral:rRNA from 1 species
CACCGGGCUAACCGUCCGUGCCAGCAGCCGCGGUAAUACGGAGGGUGCGAGCGUUAAUCGGAAUUACUGGGCGUAAAGCGCAUGCAGGCGGCCUGUUAAGUCAGAUGUGAAAGCCCGGGGCUUAACCUCGGAAUUGCAUUUGAAACUGGCAGGCUAGAGUCUUGUAGAGGGGGUAGAAUUUCAGGUGUAGCGGUGAAAUAGCGUAGAGAUCUGAAGGAAUACCAGUGGCGAAGGCGGCCCCCUGGACAAAGACUGACGCUCAGAUGCGAAAGCGUGGGGAGCAAACAGGAUUAGAUACCCUGGUAG